AAAAGUGGGGGGGGGGGGGGCGUAGCCGGUUUCUUGGACCUGUCACCUUCGAAUGGGCUGGACUACAAGUCCCAUUCUCCCCAACCAUGGUACCCUGGGGCCCUGCUGUUGCACAUCGAUGUUGGGAGGUGGAGUGCAACCAUCUCCCCCUUCCCUUCUCUCUCUUUCUCUUGCACACCAGCAGCCUGUUUCAUGCUGGUCUGGGACGGUAUCCAGGGUUUUUGAAGGGGGCCAAGUCGGGGGAAGGUUGGCUGAAGCCACCAGGCUUCUCUUUACCAGCAAUACCCGAAAUUCUAACUGAACACCUGCUCCCAAAUUCCCUGCUCCCAACAUCUUUUUGCUUUGAGGGGUGAUUGGGUGGCUGCUCUGAAACAGCUUGCUUCCUUCUGGAAGGAUUUUUAUUAGCUAUAUUGGCUUUUUUAUCUUACAGGUCAUUGAAUUCUGGGGAGUUUUAUAAUUAAGGUGACCUUCAAACAAAGUUGCUUGUCCUUGCAAUCCUGUACAUUUUUGCUGUAUGCCAAAUCCCUCUGAGUUCACUGAUGUUAUAAAGAAGCUAGUGAAGGGAUGUAGCUGUGUUAUGUUUUUAUUACUGCUGGUGGUUGCUUCUGUACCUGAAGUUAAAAUGGGACAAUUGAGCUGGAAAUUAAUUAACCAUUUACUUAUCAAAUUUUUACCAAAAGCAACUCUGGGCAGUGUACAAGGAAAUGAUCAAGGAGGAACCAAUGGCCUCUUUUAUUAAUUCAUGUGGAUCAGACAUUCAAUUCUAAUUUUUUGAUCAAGAUCGAAGUAUUAUUCAUCAAGAUUGAUCUGAAAGAAUCUCUGUGACUUUAAAUAUUAUGUACUUAUAUCAUACUGUUCAUAUUUUCUCACUGAAUAGAGUAGGAUGACUGCCAAAUAUGUAUGAACAUAAAAUGUGUUCGUGUUGUUGCAUUAAAUUUAACAGUAGAGCCUGUUCUAUGAAAUGUGUUACCCUUUGUGGGUGAAAUUUUUAUACAGAUUGUGUAGUUCUGUGGAGAAACAGCAAUAGAAAUAAGAGAUAGCUAAUAAUGAAAGGAAAGAAGUUUGUUAAUAUACGUGGAGUUUGAUGUGAAGCUUAAAUGCUCAUAAGCUAUUUAGAGUGACAACUUCUGAGAUAAAUCGUUUCUGGAUCAAUAUUCUUCUGUGGUGUGUUCAGGAUGACUAAAUGUAUGAUAUGAUGACCUUAAACCCCCUCUUUCUCUGGAUGAAUGUGCCAAAUGGUUUCUCAAUUUCCAGACAUGGCAUAUCUAUCUAUGACAGGUCUUCUUCAGCUCAGUUUCUUUCUUUCUUUAUCCACUGGGGGAAAUUUUCCAAUGUGCAGUUGGAUCACAUAGAAAGGUUGCAAACAGAGGGCCCCAGGUUUGCUUCUGGGCAUCUCCAGUUAAAAUGAUGAAAAAAUAGAUAAGGUAGGAAAAAGAGAACCUGGGACUUCAGUUAGCUUCCAAUACAGGAAAUGGUUAGAGAAACUCAUAAAUUAACAGCCUCCAGAGAACUGCAGGUUCCUCAACCCUGGAGAUCAUAGGUGUAGUUUUGAGAUUUGUAGAAGAAUACUUGCAGUGUUUAAAUUAAUAGGUAUCAUUGCAUAAUCUUGAGGAAUGAAUUUCUAUGUAGUAAGUUUAUGUGGUUUAAGGAAUUGUUGCUUUAAGCUUCAUGCUCCUGAAUAGUUGAUUAUAAACUCAAUGGUUCUGCUUCUAUUACUAUAAACGCAUAAUACUAUAGGAAUUAACUAGAGUUUGAAAUAACAUCAGGAAUGGGAAAGUUUGGUUCUCCAAAUGUUGCUAAAUUACAGCUCUCAGUAACCCCCAUUCUUAACUGGUUGAUCAGAACAACUGGGAAUUUGUUAAGGUAUAUAACCCUCUCUCCCCUGAAACAUUUCAUGUUGCAUUCAUAUUUUAUAGCACUUUUUUCCUUCUGUUUUUCCCCACAACCAACCUGGAAGGUAGGUUGGGCUUAGAGAUAAUAAUUGGCUAAAAGUCACCUAGUGCUUGAGGGUGGAUUGUAACAUUUACACCAUAAUAUACUGUCUGAGAACUCUCUAGAUGUGUGAAAUUCAGCUUUUAAUAUUUCCAGCCAGUGUGACCCUUGCUAAGAAUAUUUCUCAACAUUUCCCAAAUGUGUUACUAUGUAUGCUGUCUCUAUUCAGAAAGUCUCUAUUCAGAAACUAACUCCUCAGUUACUAUUGCCAAAACACUGCAAUUGUUCAUAUCAGAUAUUAAAAUGUAAUUAAAAUGAAUUAAGAUCCUCUAGUUCUUGAGUGGCAAAAAGUAGGGAUUUUAAGAUUAAGGAACGAGAGCGUAGAAGAUUGAAUUUAUGAAGGGGAGAAGCAAAGGAAGAUUCUGCUCAAUAAAAUUGUGUCUCAGCUGCCAAGUUGGGCGGAGGGAGUUUUGCAGUGCCCUUUGAAGCAUCUGAAGGACAACAAGUGCUGAUUGGAGGAUCUCAGUGUCAGAGAGAUUAAGGCCCUCCUCUAAUACUCCACCCCCAUACUAUGUUCUCUUUGAUUUUCCUGCACUGCUCUAUGUGAACUGUGGUGAAUGUGUUUGAUACUUUUCCGUGCAGUGUUGCUAAAUAAAGAACUUAUGGAAUCUGAAUGGUGAAAUUAUGCAACAGGACGUGGAAUCAGCCUUGCCCAAACUUUGAGAAAUGUUGGAUCUACACCCCAUCUUUUCUUCAGCCAGGAUGGCCUUGCUGCCUGAUGAAGAUAGGAGCUGUUGAUGCAAUAAUUAAUGAGAGUAGUACUUGCAAAAGCCUGGUUAGUGUACAAAGAAGGCACAGCAUUCCCCACAAUUCUGACCUUCUUGAAAAUAAUAAUCUUGUUGGUUUUUUUUU